rnacentral:rRNA from 1 species
ACUACGGGGGCAGCAGUGGGGAAUAUUGCACAAUGGGGGAAACCCUGAUGCAGCGACGCCGCGUGAGUGAAGAAGUAUUGCGGUAUGUAAAGCUCUAUCAGCAGGGAAGAAAAUGACGGUACCUGAUUAAGAAGCCCCGGCUAACGACGUGACAGCAGCCGCGGUAAUACGUAGGGGGCAAGCGUUAUCCGGAUUUAGUGGGUGUAACGGGAGCGUAGUCGGGAGGACAAGUAUGCAGUGAAAUGCAGGGGCUUAACCCCGUGACUGCUUGGGAAACCGGGCAGCUAGAGUGCAGGAGAGGUAGGUGGAAUUCCUGGGGUAGCGGUGAAAUGCGUAGAUAGUAGGAGGAAC